AUUGAACGCUGGCGGCAGGCCUAACACAUGCAAGUCGAGCGGAGGGGCGGACGGGUGAGUAAUGUUUAGGAAUCUGCCUGGUAGCGGGGGAUAGCGUCCGGAAACGGGCGCUAAUACCGCAUCCUAUCAGAUGAGCCUAGGUCGGAUUAGCUAGUUGGUGGGGUAAAGGCUCACCUAGGCGACGAUCCCUAGCUGGUCUGAGAGGAUGACCAGCCACACUGGAACUGAGACACGGUCCAGACUCCUACGGGAGGCAGCAGUGGGGAAUAUUGCACAAUGGGCGCAAGCCUGAUGCAGCCAUGCCGCGUGUGUGAAGAAGGCCUUCGGGUUGUAAAGCACUUUCAGCGGGGAGGCGUUACCCGCAGAAGAAGCACCGGCUAACUCCGUGCCAGCAGCCGCGGUAAUAC
rnacentral:rRNA from 1 species